CAGUAGCCGCGGUAAUACGAAGGGGGCUAGCGUUACUCGGAAUUACUGGGCGUAAAGGGCGCGUAGGCGGCGCUCCAAGUUAGGCGUGAAAGUCCUGGGCUCAACCUGGGAACUGCGCUUAAGACUGGAGUGCUUGAGGAUGGAAGAGGGUUGUGGAAUUCCCAGUGUAGAGGUGAAAUUCGUAGAUAUUGGGAAGAACACCGGUGGCGAAGGCGGCAACCUGGUCCAUUACUGACGCUGAGGCGCGACAGCGUGGGGAGCAAACAGGAUUAGAUACCCGUGUAGUCCCUGUCUCUUAUAC
rnacentral:rRNA from 1 species